rnacentral:rRNA from 1 species
GGUGACUAUAGCGAGGGGGAAACGCCCGUUCCCAUUCCGAACACGGAAGCUAAGCCCCUCAGCGGCGAUGGUACUAUGCGGGCGACUGCAUGGGGAGAGUAGCACGUCG